UCUUUUUUUGGGUAAACAAACUUCACCUUCUGGAUAGUAAUUGGAUCCAGGAAGAACUUGACAACCUAUACAAAUGAAGUAACACAAGGUUCGUCAUUCCAAACAUGAAGGGGUAAAACAUUUCAAGCAAUACAAAUGUAGCAGUUAUGCGCAUAAUACAACAGAAAAGGCUCUAUCUAUGAUAAAUUUUCAAAUCUACCUAGGAGAUAUAUCUAGAACACAUAUACCAGUUCUAAAGGGCAAACAUGCAUAUUAUAAGAUUUCACCUGAGGGGGGGGUGGGAGUUUCUAUCACUAAACCUAAUAACAGGGCAGACCCUCCCACCCUCUCCCAUCUAAUCUGAAUGGAGAAGAGGAUAAGAGGAGAAAUAAACAAAUCAACUGCCCAGGUGAUAGAAAUAACUGACAGAAGAAGACACGAUCUAGAGCACCACACUUGGUCCUCGACACAUUUUGAGUUGUCUAGAUUAUUUUGGUAAAGAGGGAUAUCAUGCAAUGUAAUUUAGUGAGAAGCAAAUAAGAUAGUCCAUACUUUCCAAUACAUUUUAUUAUGUUCACUUAAGUUCUACUAAAUCCAUUAAUUGUAUGAAAGUUGAGCUACUAUGACCACGGGUUCUCUGAAACAUGAGGUAUUAGUUAUGGAAGAAUUCCAAAUUUUAACCUUUCAAAGCCCCAUGGUAUAUUUUAUACCAAGUAACAAUCAAUAUGCAAUCAAAAAAUAAUUUGCCAAAAGAUCAGUGAGUGUUAGGUUAAUCCAAAUAUCAAAUGGACUGCAAUGGACAUUAGGAAGAAGCAUGCACCUUCCAAAAUGCUUCAAAUAUUCUAGGCGGAUUAUAAAGAAAUGCAACAGCAAGUCUCUCAGGGUAAUGGUUCUGUAAGAUGUUAAUGCAUUCACGGGCAGUUUUGAUGGGGACCUUGACGCUCAAACCCCAUCCAGUGAAGUCUAUCAACCAUGACAUUUGUUCUUGACCCUCACCAAGGUUAAGAAUACCGUUCUCUAUAAGAUAAACCAAAUGGCGGACAUUGUCUUCUGCACAUGUUGUGUUCUGCAAAAAUGAAAGAAAAGGUGGAAGGUCAAUCUACAAAAGCUAAGUCACAGAAACUUUAUAAAUGGGGAAAAGACCAGUAAGAAGACAUCAAUAAAUAUAAAAAAGAAAAAUCCUAGAACAAACCUGCAUUCCUGGUCUCAUUAUGAGCACAGUCCUCCCAGAUCGAUCAUGAAAAUCUGCUCUGGAGACUUUACCAGUCUCGCCUUCAUGAGCUACUUCAUGCUGCAUAAUAGUAAGGGAUUCAAUUGAUCUAAUAGAAUGAAAAAAAUAUUAUAAAAAAAUUGAUGUAUCAAGCAUAUAUAGAAUGGAAAAACAUUGUAGAAGUUAUUAAAAUAAGUAGGCAACAAUGCAUACCCAGCGGAUUUCUUCAGGCUUAUAAGUUGCUCUCCACUUGAGUGUCUCUUCCAACAUUUUCUUUGCCUUGUCGACAUUCCAGUUCCGCGCUAUUAAAUAUCUCCUCAGGCAUGCAUCAGUGCAGUACUUUACACUUCGAUCAGAAAGAGGUCCUAGAGCAGCCCUGAGUUCACUGACCUGCUUGCAGAAAAAGUAUUCAACAUCUGUCUUUCAAUCACUCGGAAAUCUUAUCUUGUUCAGAUAAAACAACAAUUUGAAAGAAGUUUCUCAUUUUGUUCAUAAACCUUGCUUCGGAAUGAUUGUAAAAUCAUAAAUUCAUUUCUUGAUGUGAUGACACUUAUAGGGUGAAACAAAAAACAAAAGCUUUCUACUUAAAUGUCUGCCAAACUUUGACACUACCUUUGCUUCUUGUUCUGCAAGGCCAUUCUCCUGAUGAUUCUGAGAGUGCUUUCUUCGAAACAUGUUGACUGCCAAUAAAGUUGAACCUAUGGUAAGUAAUCUUCAAUAGAAAAGUCUGUUAAGGAUAAUUAUUUGCCAAUAGAGUUGAACCUAUGGUAAGUAGUCUUCAACAUAAAAGUCUGUUAAGGAUAAUUAUUUCCAACCAAUUUAUUUUGCAGCUGAACUAAUAGCCUCUCAAAAGGCCUAAAUCGAAAUGGAAAUACAACCUCCACCUAAAAAACGCAGGAUUUGUAGCAAACUCAAAGACAGACCAACAAUAUUGAAUAUUUUAUCUUGAUUUGAAUACAGAAAAAUUAAACUUGCCAACAAAAAAACUUUCAUGAACGAUAGGCUGUAUUCCACCACACACGAUCUAAUGGCAGACAGAAUAGGAAUCGUUGGUCAACCUUUUCUUAUUCUGUUUAUUUUUAUCUUCUAAAAAAUUGGUAGUAGUGUAUUGAUCUAUUUUAUCGAUCAGCAAACCAAUGGGAGAAUCCAUGAUCCAAUCAAACACUGAUCACCGAGACUACACAAUGGCCGCCCUGAUCCAACCAAACCUUAUACUUUGGUUUCUAAACAUAAAUACAAACACAAACACUAACAGAUUUCAGAUUACUUCAGUUCCUUGAACCCAAAACGCUGAAUAUUUUUACAGUCUAGAAUAUCCAAACCUCUACACAGCACAGGCAAUCUUAGUAAUCACCGAGCAAAGAAAUUACAACCUAAGACUUACCAAAACUAAACGACUUAUCAAAACAUGAAAAACCCACCAAAGAGUAAUUCAGCAGAUCUCAAAUAACCUAAUCAUUUAAAAAAAAAAAAACUAGAACAAUGUGCUCCACAUCACAUUAAGGAAAAAAAACACAAAAACAGCCUUGUGAGUUUAACAAGAGCAACAGAUCUCCACCAAACUCACACACAACAAACCCCAAAUGAAAAAAAAGCCACUUGGUCAUGAAAUGUAGAGUUUAACAAACCUUGUGAGCAGUGAAGCAAAACAAAGAGAGCUCUCCCAGAUUCUAUAGUGGUGAGCUUAUUUAAAAAACCACUUUUUAGGUGAUGGGGAUGAUUCGGGUUCUGUGGAGAGGCAAUAAAGGUGUGACUUUUAGAUUUAGACAAUGGUCCUCGAGAGUUUUGGAGAGUUAUAGGUAGAGUAGUACAUUUAAUCUCUCUCUCAUAAAGGAAGAACCCAACCAGAUUCGGAAGAAAGGGAAAGCGAGGGAGAUGUGUUCAGGGAAACUUGAUAUGUUCAUUUAUAAUGGGAAAGCAAAAGGGCGAGAGCCGCUUGACAUGACUUGGAAUCUUUUGCAGGGCAGGGUGACUGGGACCUUUUGUGGUGGAAUGUAGAGUCUGCCCAUAUUAAGCAUCUUUUCUACGUUCUUUCUAGUUUCUAGAGGCUGGACGACUUUGUGGACUGAGGCAGAAGGGCGUUCCACUAAAUUAAAAAAAUAAAAAUAAAAAAUUUAUAAAUUUUUAGAUUAAUUUAAGUAAUAAUUUCAAAAAUAUUUUUUUAAAAAUAAAAAAAUAUUUUUUAAUAUAAUUUUAAAUAAAAAAUAUUUUAAAAAAUAAUUAUUACUAUACUCUCAAACACUAUCUAAUCUAAAUAUAAAAUUAAAAAAAAUUACUGAGAAAAUUGGAGGGCAGACCAUGUUUUAUAUAAGAAUAAAAAUGAAGAAAUUAGAGUCGAAAAGAAAAAAAAUUUACUGAAAAGAAAGCAUUAUUGGAGCAAUUAAUAUCCUUGUUAAUAUGUUUCAUAGAGACUAACUUUUCAGGUUAUUAAUGAUAUUUAAGCUAAUGUAUUUAUAAGAAGGUUAGAGAGGUGAAACUUUUCUCAAACUUAAAGUCAUUAAAUGAUUUUUUUUUAAUCUUGAUUUUAAUUUUAAUUUAUUAUAUUUUGAUAUAUUUGAAAUCAAGCUGUCUACGUUUUUUUCCAGGAUUUUGUGUAUAUUUUACAUAUAAAACUGAUUAAAUGACUUAAAUAUUCUCAAUUUCAAUAAUUUUCAAUGAUUGUUUUUUAUUUUUUUUAAUAGAAUUAAUUUGAAAACGAACUAAAUAACUUAAAAUUUAAUAUCACAUUUCCAGUUCUCCAUCCAAAUAUUCUUAAUUUUAAUUUUUUUAAAAAAAAAACUUGAUAGCCUAAAUACCCUUUUUUCUGUUCAAAUAAAACACCAGCAUUAUUAAAAUAUUUUCUUAAGGAAAAUUAAACAAAAUAUUUUAAAGGAAUAAUUAAGAUUAUGAUUUAAAUUCUAUCUUUUAAAUUCAAAAUUAAUUUCAUAGAAAAAAAUUUAGAACUGAUCAGUUCGAUUAGUGUAAAGGUUCUUAAAAUUAAGGAUAUUUAAGUUAGUUUUAUUAGUUUUAUAUUUAAAAUAUAAAUAAAAUCCUGAAAAAAUAAUAAAAGGACUUGAUUUUAACUAUAUCAAAUUAUAAAAGAUCAAAAUUGAGAUUAAAAAUAUAUAAACUAAUUCAAAAAUAAUUUUAAACUCAAAAAAAAUAUUUAAUUUAAUAUCAAGGUGCACCACGCUUCAUUAUUAUAAAUGUCUUUCUCAGUACAGGAGAGUAACAAUGAUAUAUCAGCUAGAGAGGUGGUGAAAUAAUAAUUCCAAAAAAUGCAUGCAUUUGAUUUACAAUAAUAUAUGCUAGUUUUCCCGAUUCUCCUAUUAUUUCACUAACCAAUCAUUGAAUAUUCAUAGGCAUUUAAAGAAAAAAAUUGAUUAAGUGAUAUGAUAAGACAUUUAACCUUUGUUUUUUAUUAUUUUAGGUGGGGGAGGGGGGGUCCUUUUCUUUGAGUUCUUUGGGAUUAUAGCAUGGUGAAAAAAAAUAACAUAAUGUAAAAAAUAUUUAGAAAAACAUUAAAACAUUGAGAGAUGCAAAUAAUAUCUGAGAUUCCCGAGUUGUAAGUGUUAUAUGCGACUUUAAAAUUAUAAAAUUAAUGGACACAAGAUUUAAUAAAAAAAAUGAGAGAGAAGAAAAAAGAAAGAAAAAAAAAGAUUUUAAAGACACACUAAAACUCCAAUGAUGACACCACCAGUAUCGUUAGAAAGAUUUUGACGAAAAGCAUCCAACAAUACCAAGAAAGAUCAUCAACGAUGAUCGAAGUGUGUCACUUGAACACCCCAAAAACAAGUGAACCUUAACACUUUUAGAUGGUUUGUAUGACUGCUUCGUUUACCAUCUAUGAAUUUCUUUGUGGAUUCAUCAAUAAAGAAAUUCAGAAUAACUAGUGUUCUCAUCAGAAUUUAAUUUGCCUAUGAGAUCUUUUCCUCUUUUUUUCUUUUCUUUUUCUUCUUUCUCUUUUAUUAUUUUUCUAUAUUAAAUAGGUGUUUAGCAAUUUUAUAAUUUUUUAAAAGUCGUAGAUAAGAACUUGAGAAUCACAAAUGUCAUAAGUAACUUUCUAAAUUCCAUUAUUUUUCUAACUAUAUUUUACAUGGUAUUAUUUUAUAUAUAUAUAUAUAUAUAUUAGAACCCAUGGAACUUCCUUUUCUCUAAUGAUGAUGAAAUAAUAAUAAGAUAGCAGUUCGUUUUUGACCCUCCUCUUUUUGACAUUGGAUUCUUUGACCUUUUUAUUUUCUAUCAAUUCAUUUAUAUUUUCUUCUUCGGCAUAUUUUUCUAAAGAACGUAAUAGGUUUUAUGAGUUUGUUUCCUACCGUAAAUAGUUAUUUUUAAAAAUAUUUUUAUUUAAAAAUAUAUUUCAAUAAUAUUUUUUAUUUUUUUAAAAUUUAUUUUUAAUAUCAGUAUAUCAAAACGAUUUAAAAAUAUCAAAAAAAUAAUUUAAAAUAAUAAAAAAACAAAAAUAAAAUUAAUUUUUUUAAAACACAAAAACAAACGGACGGUUAAAUAUACAUAAACAUAAGAUAAUAUAUUUUAUUAAGCCAUCUUAUGGAAAUUUAGAUUGAUAGGCAUUGAAUUUAAUUUUUUUUCAAAACAAUAUUGGUAUACAAGAACAUUAAUAAUACUUGAGUACAAGUACCAGAUGGUUGGAGACAAUUUAAAAAAAAAAGGUCCUAAACCUAUAAGAAUUCUAAACAAUCCAUGAUGUGUUCUUCGAUCCUCUCCUAUCGUCAAUCAAUUUGUGUUUGAAUUCUUUUCUUGAUAGUUCUGCAGAUGACGGUCAAUUGGGGCAAUUAACUUCAACGUAUUAAACCAUAUAAUAACAGUUGAAGAAAAGAAAUACAUUUCAAGAUUGUGGUCAAUUUCUCGUUAAAAUAUCAGAGCUGCAAUUGGCCCAUAUUAAAAUUAAAAUUAAAUAAAAAUCAAAAGGGAUCAAUGAAUCCUUGUAGCUUGUGAGACAAAACAAAAAAUUGGAUUGAUAUAGUGUUUUGCUUCUUUUUUUUAUUAUGGUCUCUUUUUGUCGAUUAUCGAAAAACAAUUUCACGGGUUGCAAUUUAUUUUUUUCUAGUAAAUAACGUGUUGCAAAAAAGAAAAAAAUAAUAUGGUUGGCAUGAGACGAUUACAAACGUAAAUUUAUUACAUUUAUUUAGUGAUACGUAACGUAACGUGUUAGGGAUAUGUUUAUAAAUUAAUUAGACAAGAUAGAAUUAAAAAAGAAAUCUUGAUAUUUUAAACACUGACAAAAACAAUUAUAAUUUUAUAUCUGAGGCUGAGAUUGACCGGGAAGGGGUUUUACUGGUCUUAUUACCUCUGGAGUCAACCAUCUAACUUGACAUAAAGUCGAUGUCAGAAAAGCCGUAGAAAUAAGCUAAGAAGAUGGUGUUUUCUUGUUUAUUUUUAUUAUUAUUUCAGUUUAAUGAAUUAUUGAUUUUAAAAAUACAGUUUUUCUUUAUAAUUCAAGACAGUAAUUUUAAAGAUUGGGAAACCCUAAUUUAUCAUUUACAGGGGGACCCAAACUAAGCCUUAAUUUCGACUGUUUUAGUUUAUUUGGAAUAGAAAAGGUUAACCAUGUAAUAGCAUUUUCAUCGAUUUGUAAGUAUAUAUAUAUGGACGCAGCCUGAAUUGGUUCCCAAGGGCUCGAGCCUGACGACAAGCUGUUACAAUCAAAACGUCAAUUCUGAUUAAUGUCAACGAAACCGUACAAGCUUAUAUAAUUGCCGCAUUAUUAGGCAUUGGUGGUCCAAUCAGUACUGUUGAUUGUUGAAGAAAUUUUCCCUCAUAAAUAUUAUAUAAACUGGGAAAAGGUAGCCGCUGUGUCUACUGUUUUUUAGACGGAAAAGUAAAGUAAUAAUGGUUUUUAAAAGUAUUUUUUAUUUAAAAAUAUAUUAAAAUAAUAUUUUUUAUUUUUAAAAAAUUAUUUUAAUAUUCAAACAUCAAAAUAAUAUAAAAAUAUAUAAUAUAAUAAUUUUAAACAAAAUUGUUUUUAGUAAAAUAGCGUUUGGAAUGUAGUCAUCAACAUUAUUUUUAAACAAAAUAUAUUUAGAAUUGUGGUAGAAAUUGUGUUUUAAAAUAUUUUUACUUAGAAAUACAUUAAAAUAAUAUUUUUUAUUUUUAAAAAAAUUAUUUUGAUAUUAACAAUCAAAAUAAUUUAAAAAUAUAUAUAAAAAUAAUUUUUAAUAAAAAAAUUCAAAAUUAAAGAAAAACACGCAGCCCGUAUAAAUCAAUGUGGUUGAUAUAGCUACGGGUCCAUUUUCAUGGCUGGCGAUUUUGAAUAAGCCAACAACCAAAGACAAGGAAGAAUAAACGCAUGCUUUCUUGGUGUCCUUUUUCGUUUGUAAAGCAUGAAGGAAGAGAAUGGGUUACUCGUAACGUUCAUAUAUUAAAGUUGUUAAUGUAUAUGCUCUGUAUAUGCCCUGAAAUAUAUAUAUAUAUAUAUAUAUAUAUAUAUAUAUAAUAUUGAUUUUGUUUAUGUAAAUGUAUUUAAUUUAUUAAUAAAGUUUUAUUUAUUUUUAAUAUUUAUUAAAUAUUUGAUUAAUGAAUUUAGAAAAAAUAUAAAGUUCUCGGGACAAAAAUACUUUGCAAAUAAAAUUACAAUAUUACUAUAAUCAUAUGAUUCUUAUUGUAUCAAAUCAUUGUUCCUAAAUGCUCUUGGUCAAUACUGAUCAUUAAUUAGAGUUGUUGAGACAAAUAUAUAUUAUAUCCUUUUAUUUAUAAAAUAAAACAGUUGUUCUAUUUAUGAAAUAAAACAAUUGUUCUCAUAAACUCAUGUAUCCUUAGAGCUAACAUGUAGGUGCUUGUCGGAUGACAUAUACACUAAAUUGACCCGAUGAGAGUUCUAUAAAGAGAGAUCAUUUGUGUCUAUGAAAAGACUCAUGUGACGGUUGUGUAAGUGAUCCUUAGGCAAGAGAUUACUAAGUUAUCUUAGAUAGAGAGUGUUAUGUUUUGAUCUUGCUACACGUUGUUCAAAUCAAGAGUAGCAAACAAGCAAAUAUUGAGUAUAACAUGAACUAUAUGAAAGUAUUUAAAUAAUUUAUAAAGGAUUCAUCACCCUAAGUGAAUUAUAAAAAAAAUGUUUCAUUUGUUCUCAAAUAGUAUUGAUUGUAAAUCUUUACACAAUAUGAAAUGAGAUUUAAAAGGAGUUUCAAAACUUAUUCAAAUAAUCAAUGACUAUAAUGUUGAGAACAAACAUGAUUUGACAAAAUAAAUAUACUUCAUGCUAUAUUGUUUAAAUAAGAAUAUUGUUGAUGAAUGAAUAAUGAUUAAACUGAGAAAUUGAUCACUGAAAGAUAAAAUCAAAUUGCUUAUGACUUUCCUAAUAUUUAGAGAAUCAUGACAAGUUGUUAAAUAUUAUACUUGAUGUUCAAAUAUAAAUCAAUCAACUGAUUUGUUUAAUUCUAUUUAAUUUAUUAUUAUGAUUUAUAUUUGAGUCAAUUUAUUAAAGAACCUAAUGGUUCACGCACAUAAAAAUCAUUGGUCAAAAAUUAAAAUGGGAUGAUUAAUCAAAUGUGACUUGAUUGUAAAUAAAUUUUAGAAAUUAAGAACUAGAAUGUAAUUAAUACAUGAGAUUACAGUUCUAGACCUAUAAACAAUUAAGUAAGGACUUGAUUGAAUAAAUUUCUAAAAUAAACCCAAAAUGAUAUAUGUGAUAUUAUUUAAGGGGCAAGUUAAAUUCCUCUUUUCUAAAAAGGAUUAUGGUUUAUAACAACCUGACCUUAAAGUAAUUGUUCAAAGUAAAAAAAUCUUCAGGUAAUAUUUGUAUAAAUCCUAAAAAACCCUAAGUCUAUCUAACGGAAUCUUCAAAACUCCUAAUUUGUUUUUUAAAUUAUAGUUUUUGUUAUGUGUAUGUAUUUAAAAAAACCCAUCAAAUACAACAUAUACACUACAUAUUAAUUGUUCAGCUGGUAGAAAAACCUACAUGGAAGCUAAACUUUUCCUUUCUUUUCCUCAAUUUGUUUGAUUUUUUUUUAUUUCUUUGAAUUAAACGUUUAAAAUGGAAGUAUUAGAUCUAGUCAGUCCAAGCCCUCCACAAAAAGUGUUGUUCUUGUAAUUUUUUAUGUAUUUAGUAUUGUGGUAUAUAAUAUUUUUUAAAAGUGUUUUUCACUUGAAAAUAUAUUAAAAUAAUUUUUUAUUUUUUUAUUGUUGACUUUAACACAUCAAAAUCAUUAAAAAAACAUCAGAUGAUAAUUAUUUUCCUCAGCCUGUUGCGGAGAUGCAAGCUUUGUAGAAGGGACAAGGUCAUGUAUUGCAAGGAAGAAAUAAUUAUUUUCCAACAAAAAAGGAUAGAAGUAAUUAAUUGCUCAUAAAAAAAGAUUGAAGUUAAUAGAAUGGAAACUAUUUAACAAUAGUUUCUUUUCAUACAUCAGAUGAUAUUUAGCACUAAACAUGAGUUUAUAACCGAUUAUGUUUAUUAAUUUACCCAUGCGGUUUCCGGUUCCUUUUUUUAGAUAUAGUCCAAGCAACACUUUUCUUAUCUUCAGUUGCUAGCAUACCAGAUUGAGCAUCAGGCAGCCCAGAUUAGCUAGCUGUUAUUGCAAGAGGCGCUGGCACUGGUGUCAUCUGAGCUAAAUGGUCAUGAUCAGCAAUAUUGUCUCUCGACUUUUCAUCAGAUCCCCAGAACUUGGCAGUUCUUUCGUCAUCCUCGACCAUCAACCGUGAGAACUCCUCAUGGUCAUACUCGAGUGAGGCUUUUCCCCCAAAUUCACUUGGAAGAUUUUCAAUAUCAAAGUAAGACUGCAUGAGCUCCGAACUUUCUUUCUUUUUUGGGUAAGCAAACUUCACCUUCUUGAAUGUUAUUGGAUCCAAGAAGUACCUGACAGCCUGAAGAGAUGGAGUAAUAACAGGUUCAGCAAUACACAUGUCCAGGUGCUAAAUUUAAAGUAAAAUAAAUGCAGCAAUUUUAUGGCUAUCCGAAACCCGAGUCUAGUCCAAUAUAAAAGGUCAACUGCACAGGUGGUGAAAAUAGACUAAUAGAAUUGUGAUGCCCUCUAGAGCACGAUGCUUGGUUUUCAACAAACAUAAAUUUGACCGCUGAUUAUGCUCAGAAUAAACAAAAUGGACGUGUGACAGAAGAACAAACCUUCCAGAACGCCUCGAAAAUUCUUGGAGGAUUAUAAAGAAAUGCAAUGGCCAGCCUUUGGGGAUAAUGGUUUUGCAAAACAUUAAUGCAAUCACGGCUAGUUUUGAUGGGAAUAUUGGUGCUCAAGGACCAUCCAGUGAAGUCUAUCAACCAUGACAUUUGUUCUUGACCAUCAGCAAGGUUAAGGAUUCCAUUUUCUAAAAGAUAGACCAUGUAGCGGACAUUGUCUUCAGUACAUUUUGUGGUCUGCCAAAUUGCAGAAGAAGAGGUCAAAGGUCAAUUUGCAAAAGCUUCGGUCACAGUAUGCUUGCUUAAGAGCCAGAAAAAUAAAAAUCACUAGAUAAAAAUGAGGGGAAAAAACAGUACAAACCUGCAUCCCUGGCCUCAUUAUAAGCACAGUCCUCCCGGAACGAUCAUGAAAAUUUGCUCUGGAGAUUUUCCCUGUCACGCCUUCAUGUGCUACUUCAUGCUGAGAAAUUACACGUGCAUAUGUCAAAAAAAUGGUCUAGAUAAUAUCGUCUAGAAUCGAAAAACAGCGGUUAGAUCUGGCCAUCCUAUCAAGAAAGGCAAUCAUUGCAUCCCACAUACCCAGCGGAUUUCUUCAGGCUUGAAAGUUGCUCUCCACUUAAUCGUCUCUUCCAGCAUUUUCUUUGCCUUGUCAACAUUCCAGUUCCGAGCUUCCAAAUACCUUCUCAAGCAUGAAUCAGUGCAGUACUGUAAACUACGACCAGAUAGAGGUCCAAGAGCAGCCCUGAGCUCACAAACCUGCUUGUCGAAAAACCAUUAAUUUAAUGUCUAUUUUCAAUCCACUUAUUCAUGAUUUCUUCAGGAGACGAAAAUCACAGAGUAAAAAACGUCCGUCCGACUCAAACUUUACCUUUGCAUCUCGUUCUGAAGGGUCAUUCUCCUGCUGAGUAUGUGGCUGCCUUCUUAUAAGAUACAUGUUGACUGCAAAAAGAGUUUAACUUGUGUUAAGAAAUCAAUCCUCCUUCUACAAUUAGAAGAAAAAAAAGUCAUGACAUCUAUUUUCUCCCUUAAUCUUCAUCAAUUAGAAGCAAAAUUAGUAUUCAUAGAAAAUAAACUUUCCCAUUGAAAUAAUUUUCAUCAACUAGGCUCUGUCAUGCCAUGGACUUUCUGCUUUCUUUCUUAUGCUAUUAAUUUUUUGAAUAGCAAUACCAAGUCAAGUAUUUUUAGUAAUCAUCAGGCACACAGCAUAAUAGCCUGAUCACUCUAGCAAAAACUAGAAGUUAUAAUUAGAACCUGAAAGACCCACCAAGAGAACAAAUUCUAAAGUAAUAAUUUUGAAGAAAGCUAGGGUUUUGAGCUUCAUUUCGGAUGGAAAACCAAAAGGGCCUUUCAACAAGAAACAAAAAAACCAAGAAAAAAUCGUUUAGUCAUGCUAAACUCAAAGCUUACAGUUACUCCAACAAAGGAAGGUGGAAAAAUAAAACUAGCAAUGAUGAAAUGAAUUGAGAUAUAGGAAUGUCAAACUGGCAAACCUAUAUAAUGAAGCAGAAGUGAAGAACUCUCCACUGAAGCUCUAUCAAGGCCUCUUGUGUUUCAGAAAUGAAAUGGUAUCUGGGAGUUUGUUUAAAUGAGGCGGUUUCCUGCUUUUAUAUUGAGGAAGCAAGAGCAAAAGACUUGACCUGGCAUGGCAUGGCAUGGCGUUUCAAAGUCUUUGUACAAACACUGCUCUGAAAAAAAAAUAUGUAUAUAUUUCGAAGUCUUAUUAACGUGUAAUUUUCUCAGAUGUGAUGUUAUUUGAGAUCUUUGGAUUCAGAUCCAAAUAUCAAGAAGGGUUAUUGAGAUGAUUUGUGCUAUGAAGACUAUAUAUGUGUUCGUAAAUAUGUAUGUUCCGAGGAUUUGUAUUUCUGAGAUGGUGAUUUUGAGAAAAAUAUUUAAUGAAAUUAAUGUUGCUGGAAAUUAAAUAGAUAAAAUUCUAAUUUAUAUAUACUAAAUUUCUUAUCUUUGUUCAAAAACGAAUUUUUUUUAGGUGUUGAAUUUCUCUUUGAAUGGUCAAUAUUGUGUGAUAUUUUGAAUUCUUGUUAUUAAGGUUCCAACUAUAAUGGGAGUUUUUAAGUUAUUUAAAUAAUACUCAUUAAUUUUAUAAUUUAUUUAUUUUAUCUGAAUUAGGAGUCUCCAUUGAAAUAGCAAGUAUUUUCGGGUCAAUUGGGAGUUGCUGGCUGCGUCCACAGCCUAAUUCUUUUCGGUAUCUUCUACGAGCAAACAUAAAAAGGUUUGGUCACACAUCACUGUUGUGUAAGAAAUUAAUAAAUCAUUUACAUAAUGAUAUCAAAUGUAUGUGUAUAAACCAUGAUUUUUCAUGUCAUAUAAACGUUAUUCAAAGUACAUAAAAGGCUACCUGUUUGUUUUUAUGUUUUAAAAGUAUUUUUUAAAAAAAAUAAAUUUUUUUAUUUUUUUUAGUUUAAAUUAAUAGUUUUUUAGUGUUUUUAGAUAUUAUGAUGCGCUGAUAUUAAAAAUAUUUUUUAAAAAAAAAACAUUAUUUUGAUAUAUUUUCAAGUGAAAAGCACUUUGAAAACCGUAACAUCAUUAUAUUUUUUUUAAAAAUACUUUUAAAAUAUAAAAAUAAACAGGAAAGUGAUGAGAAUAUAUUUUUAACUAUAUUUUUUUAAAAGACACUUGUGGUCUAUGCAUGGUGUUUGUUUUUAUUUUUUGAAGUAUAUUUCAAAUUAUUUUUUAUGAUUAUAUUUUAGUUUUUGUAAAAUUGAAUCCAUCUUAAAUUAUUAUUGCAACUGGUGGCAUGAUCCUUUUAGGUAUAUUCAUCUUCAAUUACAAAUUAGGAAUGUAAAAAAUAGCAAUCUGAACUGGUCAGCUUCUUCUUCUCCGCUACCAAUAUCCAUCUUUUCUGAUUCCUUAUUUUACCAAAAUAAAAAAUAGAACCCUGAUAUAAAAUACCAAGAUAUUGGGAGAAGAUGAUAUCAUUAUUAAUGACUAAAUAAUAUAUGAUUAGAAAAAAACUAAUAAAUUGUCAUGCUUCAAUUAAUGACACAUGUAAAAACAAUUAAAAAUAAAAAUAGGCUAUGUCAGUAUGACGCCUGCUUAUCAUGAGCAUGUGGUGUGACAAAAAAAAAUGCCAUGUCAUCUGGACACAUAAAAAUUUGAAUAUUAUAGCGAUCACUUCAUCCAUUUCACUGCAUAACGAUCAAGGUGUGAAAUGAAAAUAUACUCUUUUUUUUCCUGGUGAGAAAACAGACGAUAGUUUUCGAAUCAAAAUGCUAAUGAUCCAUGAACAAACAAUAGGUAUGAUAGUCCCUCGUAGCUUACAUGAUCGUUAAUUUCAGGAUCUAUAAAAUUAGUCGAGGUAUAUAUAAACUAGUUCGGACACCCACAUUAAUCAAAAAACAAUAAGAAUCUAUGAAAAAUACCAUUGCGACUACCUACAUCCAUAAAUAUAGACUAUAAUAUUUAAGAUUAUUGACAAAAUUUAUAAAAAUAUUUGUACUGAAACAAUUGGUUUUGAAAAAAAAGAGAGUAAAUUUUCACAUCACUAGUAAUUUUUUUCCUUUAAAAUCUACAUCAAUAAAUAUAAACCAUAAUAUUUAAUACUAAGAUGUUGUCACUUCCACGUUUUAGCAUAUAUAUUUAAUAUCUGGCAAGGUCUGUUCCCGCGCUUUACCCCAAAGGAAGGUUUUGGUAAUUAUAAAGUAGUGUUUGAUUAAUAUUAUUUGAUAGAAGGAAAAAGCGACAGAAAUAAUAUAAAAUAAAUUUAUUUUUAAAACAGUUUUGAAAUAAAUUUAUGUAUUUUAUAAUAAAAUAAUAUAUAAUAACUAAACGCUAUUAGAUAGUUUACGAUAAAUCUUGAAGAUAAUGGUAGAAAUUGAGAGGAUUGAAGAUAUAUAUAUAUAUAUAUAUAUAUAUAUAUAUAUAUAUAUAUAUAUAUAUAUUUUAUUUGAGGAAACUUUAUUCCUUGAAAAGCGUAUUUUGUGGGCUUAGGUGAGCGAUUAAAACCUCAGCUGUCCUAGACUCUUACAAGAAGUGCACGUCCUGAUUCGAACUCGAGACCUGCUAUGCAGAUCUCAAGCUCUUUGUCAUCACGCUACGUCUCUUGGGACUGAAUCGAAGAGAUAUUGCUAAAGCUUGGUAAAGAUUUCUUUCGAUUCUUGUUAAGCAAAUCUCACCAAUAGAAUUUCAGAGAGCACCAUCGCAGCUUGGUCACGCUGAGUUUUUGUUUGAAAUAAUGUCUGGCCACAUGCUUUUUUAGCAUUUCUUGGUGCCCUCCUACGUUGAAUAAGGAGGGUUUGCUUGCAACUUUGAAUCAAAUAAUAAUGAGGCUGAAUCGUUGACUAAAUCUCUUGGCGCAAACGAAAGGAAGAAAGGGACCGGAAUCGUCGUUUUGUCAAACCAUGUACAGGUGUAUUCUGGAGAGUGUAACACCAUCGCUAAGCAAUGAUCCUGUUAGUUUUUUGUACUAAUUCUUUCUUUUUAUUUUUUUAUUGCCUCUCGAUUCACAGAUCAGGUGUUGUUGCUUCAGGUGACCAAGUUUCCUUUCUUUAUUGUUGUUAUUGUUUUUGGUUUUACUUUUCAAGUCAUUAAUUCUCAGGUCAGCAACGAGGAUGUGGAUAUGCAUAUUAACAUGAGAGAGAGAGAGAGAGAGAGAAUAUGUUGUGCUUCAAGAGUUACUAUCAGCUAUCGUUUUGCACCUGUUUUUGUAUUUGCAAUGUAAAAAACAUAAUAAGGUAUCUGGUAACCAUAAAAAUUGUGUUUUAUAUUAUGGAAUUCACUAAAAAAAUUGAAUUUAAAAUGCAAUUUUUGUGCAACCACAUAACUACCAAACAUUUUAUAAAUGUUUUUUUACUGCAAAUAAACCUCAACCAUAAUUUUUACUAAACGUAUAUCUAAAUCCAACUAACCACACCUAACCAUGCUUUUUUUAAAUUUAUUUUUUUCAAACUACAACCAUACAAGUUACCUCAAAAAUAAACGCACUCUCUAGAGUGUGAUAACAGUUAAUUUUUAAAAUAUUUUUUAUAUAAAUACAUUAAAAUAAUAUAUUUUUUUAUUUUUUACAUUAGUAUAUCAAAACAAUCCAAAAAUAUAUAAAAAAUUAAUUUUAAAUAAAAAUAAUAAUUGAAUUUCAACCGAUCUCUAUUUGAACCGCAAUAUUAAACAUGGGCUUACACAUCAACUCUUGGAGGUGGGCUUAGUGAAAAGGUUCAAAUUUAAGGAUGGCUAUUAACCUGGUUCCUUUUCCUGGGUUAUUUGAAACUAGAUAAAACUUGGUAGGGUUCAUAUAAGGCCCAAGAGAGAUUAUUAUCAUAAUUAGGAAAGAAUUGCUAUUCCGUUGACUUUUGAAGCUGACUGCUAGCCUGCACAUUUUGAUUUUUUUUCUUUGACUUUUCUUUUUUGAGAAGAACAGUACAUGAAUGAUAAGACUUGGCCCAUCUGUCUCCAAUUCAUGAAUAGCGAGCGAUACCAUCGGUGGCUGGAAGUCUUUUUCUUGCACUAGGGAUUGUUGGAUCCAAGCCAUGAGCCAGAUGGGCAUAUGCCUGAACAAUUGACUUUCCUUACAAACCAAAAUCGUGCUGGCGUCAAGCCAAUUAACAGCUAGCAAGUCAAGUUUCAGGCUAAAAUAAAUAAGCAUUAAAUAAUAAGUAUUCCACAGACCAAACAUUGAUUAGGUCCUGGAAAAAUCUCUAAACUAUCCUCCACGGGAUAGCAAGCCACGCAAAUGGCCCAGCGUUACCGUCCAGCAAAAGAAUCUAUUACUUCUCAAAGAAAACGACCUCACUGAUAGUAAUUGAGAGGAACAAGGAGGAUUAUACUUUUUUUCUACCAAGAAAGAUACAGGCAAGACAAUGGAGCUUGUUUGCAGAAGCUUCAGGGUAGAAAGAGGGUCAUCAAUAAAGUUUGGGAGAUCGAACAGUUCACUGCUGAUAUCAGAAUCUAUAUCCUCGGAAUGUACACGAGUUGCCCGCUAUGAGAAUCUUUCAGCUUCUAUGAGGAUGAGCAAUGAUCAGGAUAUCGGAUAUAGGAGCAGGAAAAGCAGGGCUUACACGUUUAUAAGCAAGGUUUUCAGCUUCAGGAAAAUCUCCAGCGAUUGUGAGACAAGGCAGCAAGCAGAUAUGGUGACUCAAGAGGAGAAAAAAGAGAAGAAGAAAAGGUCUUCGUGGCUUCCUGAUCCUGAAAGGAGAUGGCCUGUGCAGGGUUGGUGAUUUACAGUCAAAGUCAAGGAGCUAGGCAUGGCAAUAACUAAGAUCAUUAACUGGGUUUUCAUUCCUCCGGAUCUCAUGUGGCGAGAAGAUUGAAGAAAUCUCAAGGAAAAGGAUAGAAAAGACUACGAGGAAAUGCUCAGAUAGUCAAUUGAUCACAUGGCUAGAUUAUCAAAAAGGAAGCAUAGCAUUUAUUACUUCAAAACGAUUUGUAAUGUUCCCACCCAAUUAUUAAAUUGUUCUUCUCACCAACAACCCAAUUUAAAACCCAAGCAAAGCAGGUCUAUACGAGAUGGCUUCGUGGAAAAUAAUCCAUAAACCUCAAGCAGAAUAGAUUUAGCUUAUGAUGCUGCUAGUUGUAUUCUGCAAUGUCCAUGAAUAAUACAUUGCUAUUUGUAAAGCUUGUAAGGUGAAGGACCUACUGGGUUCUAUCCAAAUGCCCAGACUGCUUGAACCCCUUGAUUAUGAGCAUCGGGUCUUUGAAAGUUCUUGCUUAUGAACUUCCGAUGUGAUGAACACUUCAGUAGCCAAUAGGCAACACUUGAUGAAAGGCAGCAAUGUCUCCGACAAGAACCAUGAUUUUGACAAACAUGCGAAUAUAACGAGAAAAGGCUUCUUCUGAUCAAGUUACCUUGCCUUGAAUUGAAUAUGAAGCAUCUGAAUUAAUUGAAUAUGUUUAACAUAAGAACAUAGAAGUCCCAGCACAGAAAUUUGUUGUUAUCAAGGACAGGGCCUAGGACAAAUCUCUCAUAAUAUGGUAGGUAGAUAGAGAACAAUACUAAAAGGGAUCCCUACACAAGUUCCAUUUUGCAAGAAAUCAGUAAAUUAUCAAUCAAAAAACUAUAUGAACAUGAUAAUGGAAGACUAAGAGCAUCAUGAUCAGUAGCUUUAGGUCUAUUAGAGUGAUGACACAGCAGAAAAAUAACUCUUUGAAUGUAAAUUGGAAUCUUCAUUGAAUGCCAACAAUCCUGGGUUUUGCACUUAACAAUGAAGAACAUACAUGUUUCAUAAUCGUAUAUAUUCCAGAUGGGUGCGAAUGCGAUAGCGAUUAAAAGCCAUAGAUGAUCUGAAUUUUGUGCCAAUAGCUGAAAAAUCAUUUACGAUUCGUUAGAUGAGUUUUCUUUAAAAAAUUACAAAUUCUUCACAAGCAAGCAAAAAAAAUAUUCUUUUUUCGUUAUAAUCACGCAGGUUACUGUUAGAUAUGAUAAGAUUAGAUGGAAACAACAAAUAAAGAUUUGAAACACUCUACAGGGGUGUUUGGCCUUCGUUUUAACUAAAGUUUUGUAUAUUUUUAGAAGAAAAUGUUAAAUUUAUAUUAAUUUUUUUUAUUGUUUUAAUACGAUGAUAUCAUAAAUAAAUUUUUAAAAAUAAAAAAUUAUUAUUUUAAUAUAUUUUAAAAUAAAAAAUAUUCUAAAAAAAAAAUAUUUUAAAAAGCAAUCUCUAUAAAUAUUCUAUCACUAUCCUAGACAACUUUUAAAAAAACUGGCAGCUGUCAUUUGCACGCGUGCAUGUGAUUUUUUUGGGUUUUAACAUCAAUCAAUCCGGCAGCAAUAUAAUAUGCGGCAAGCAUAUUAAGAAUGUGUUUGAAAUUGUAACGUGAUGUCUGUUUAAAAUAUUUAUUUUAUUUUUAAAAAAUUAUUUUUUAUAUCAGUAUAGUAAAAUAAUUUUAAAAUUAAAAAAAUUUAAAUAAAAUUUUUUUAAAAAAAAAACUAUGAUUUACAACAUGUUCCCGAACACUACUUAAAUUUAAAUAAAAUAAAAAAUAAAAAAAAAAUAAUCUAUAGUUAUGUUUCACUCGUGUUUUGAAAUUCAACAUGAUUUGAUGAUUUUAUUAAAAAAAUAAUUUAAAAUAACUUUUUAAUUAAAUUAAAUAAAAUAUAAAUUUAAUAAAAUUUAUUUGACUUGCUAAGUUUUUAAUAACUUAAUUGAUUCAAUAAUAUUCAAUUUAAAUCUAAUCAAAUCAAUAAACAUGAAGAAAAAAACCAUGUCAUUUAAUUACAAAAUCAAAAUCUCUAAUCUCUAAUCUCCUCUUAUCUCAGCACAAAACAACUAAACGGCCAUAGAUAAAUAAAGUUUGAAAAAACAUGUAUCUCUCCAAUCAUCUUCAUGUUAUUUUCUUGUUUUCUUUUGUUUCAAGGAAUUAUUAUUGUUUUGUUUUAUUUUGUUGUGUUUGCAUCCUCGGUGCUCAAGGUCCUCCAAAAACAAAAUCAGUGAGGCAUGGUAGCUUGACCAUUUUAGUUUUUCGCCUGCUUUUGCUUAUAGGUUAUGUAAAUAUGUAGAGAUUUUUUUAAUAGUGAUUGUUGAAAGACUUAAAAAAGCCUAAGAGGGAGUGAAUUAGAGCUUCAUUUAUUUUUUAUUGCCAUUUUAAAAAUAAUCUCCAAUUUACUCAAAAUAGUUUAAAUUAAUCUCAAUUUCUUUAACAAUGUCUAAAUCAAAAAUUAAUACCAAAACUCACAAACUAUAUCUUAAUACACUAAGAUAGCCAAAACACCGAAGUAAUAUAAUUGAUCAUAAAUAAAAAGAUAAGGAUAGAGCGAGACACACUAAUUUUAUAGUGGUUCAGAUUAAAUAAUCCUUCUAUCAGGCUUAAAAUUAAACUCAAUACUUUUAUGGGCUAAGGAUUAAACAUGUCUCAAUUGUUUUUUCGAACUCAAUAUUAAAUACAAUUUUUUUUACAGGCUAAUAAUCAAACCCAUCACUUGAUUUUUUCAUGAGCUCAAGAUUGAAAACUUAUCACACAAAUUUUUUUUGAAGAUCCUCUCUCAAAUUCACACCUAAAGAAUAAAUCUAAGUGGUUAAACUGUCACUUAUACUUUUUAUAAUAUAUUUGUUUCUCACAAGAGAAAGAUUACUCCUUACAUGCUGAAAAGAUUACAAUAUAUAAACUCAAGUAUUUAUAGAAUGUAAUCUAACACACAAAGGUGAAAGAGUGAUUUUGAUGUUAUAAGAUUCAAAGAUUUUUAAAAGAUUACAGAAGAAUAAUCAAAACUUUUUAGAAUAAGAAAUAUCACACAUCAUGUGCAAGAACAAUUAGAAAUACUAAAAAUGUGUAUUUAUUGAAAAACCCCAAAACUAGUUAUUACUUAUGUUAAAAUUAUAAAUUUAUCACCUUAACUGAUAAUAAAUAAAUGAUAUAAAAACCAAUGUGAUAAUAUUUUUAGCUACAAUUGGUUAUUAAAAUAUAUUAUAGUGCAAGGCACAUAAUAAGUAUUAUGCUCUUCAUUUAAGUGUAAAUAACAAAAUAUAUGAUGAAAUAUUUUUGGAUGAAAAUAUAUAUGGCAAAAAAAAAUAUUUUUUAUGAUGUAAAAUUAUAUUCCAUAAAGAUUUGAUCACACAAAGAUAUGAUUUGAAGAAUCUUCAAGUUAAGUUUGCAUCCAAAGAGUCUAUAAUUUCAGUCUGAUGUAGAAAAAUUCUUAUAAUAAUAAUACUUUGACAUAUAUAUUAUAUGCAAUAAUAUAUUGUUAUCAUCAAAACAAAUAAUCCUUGACCGAUUAAAGGAUUAAAGGCCUCUCAUAGUAAAUGAGUUGUAUAUUCAUCUUUUCCUUCUACAUUUCUUAUGAUCAUUUCUAGAAAUGGAAACAAAUGAGGGAAAAAAAGAAGAGAAAAGCUUCAAUUUUCGAAUAUGAUAUAUACAAAUUAAUCAAUGUAUUACAUAAAUUUCUCCUAACUAAUGAAAGAUUGAGUUGUAAAUGAUGAUAUAUGGAGUUAUUGAAAAUCCUUCAAAGAUAAUUGAAACAUUUCAUUUGUCUCUUCCUAGCGAUUUCUACUCUACAACAUUACGUUGUCUUUUAUUUCAUAAACAAUGUCGUCUUUUUUAGUGCUCUUUUCCUAUUCUGUUUAUUUCACUGAUGGAAAUAGGGCUUCUAGGUAUUCAACCGAGGGAGUUCUCAAAAAAUGUGAUUUUUUUUUUACUUAAAAUAAAAAAAUUAUGUUUUCAGUUUUUUUUAUGUGCUGAUUUUAAAAAUAAUUUUUAAAAAAUAAAAAAAAUUAUUUUAAUGUCUUUCCAAGCAAAAAACUUUUGAACCAUCACCGUUAUUAUAAUCUCAAAUAGACUCUAAAACUUAGUGAAUUACUAGUUUUUUGUUGUAUUUUUGCUGCGAUUGAAUCUAAAUAUUUUAGAAUAUAAAAAAAAUAUUAUUUAAAAUAUUAAAAAAUAAAUAGUAUUGUUAUUAGCGUUUCAUAUUUAAAAAAUCUUGACUCAGUUAUUUUCUUAGUUUAAAUUUUAAAUUAAUUUGACUUAUUUUUUUAUAAAUUAUUUCAAUUUUGCUAUGAUAGUAACGUGUGACUAUUUUCUAAUCUACAACUAAAUUUAUCAAAACUCUAUGAAAGUUUUCUUAUCCUCAUUCUCAUUCGAGAUACUAGGAGCUCUCCAUUGGUUGAACUUUGAGUUCUUGUUUGCACUUAAGUUUUUUCAUUUGAAGAGCACAUUUAUGUGUUUUUUUUUAAUGCCUUUUCUUUUGUUUUUUUAUUGCACAUAUUAAAAAUAUAUACAUUGUGUUCAGAAUGUAAUGAGGCUUAUCUAGGUAAUUAAUUUGGCAAUGUACUAGGUUAACUUUUCCCUGCACUAUGGCUAUAUCUUGUAUCAAAAAAAUUUAGAAUGUCAAAAAAAAAAUAUUUAGAUUAUAAAAAUCUUUUUGAUAUUAUUAUUAAACUUAAUAUAAUAGUUCAAAUUUAAAAAAUUCUUAACCAACUCUUUACUUAGCCUAAAUUUUAAAUUAAAUUGUGUUCUAACAUGACUUUAUCAACUAAGCAGGUAAAAAAAAUCAAAGAAAAAGGAAAAAAAUUGGUCAUGUUCACUCUAAUCAACUCAUCCAAUCCGUGAAUGGACUCCACUUAGUUGAAUUAAUUUGUUUAUUUUAUUAUAUGAUAAAAAAAUACAAAAAUAAUUUACAAUCAAUUCAAUACUAAAAAAUAAAAUUCAAUAAAAACUAUAAUAUAAUUAAAAAAUCUCAAAGGGCCAAUAAAAAGAGCCCGGAUCAUAAUAUAUAAUUUAAUGAGUCAAUGCAUUGGAUAAAAGGCCAUGGCUAGUUUAUAUGUAUCGCGCUCGAUAAAUCUCCUGAGCUCUCUGGUCUGCCAUCCUCACUUUUUCUAUUUUUACACUAGGUUGAAUUUGAGACAAGACAACUUCCUAUUUUUUUCCGCAAACGAGAAGCUGUAUUUCUUACUAAAUUAAUUAAUUAAUUAAUUAAUUAUAUUACAAAAUCCCAUUAAUUAUAUCUAUUUCAAACCUCUCAAUUCUUUUUUCAGAGUUAUGAUUUUUCUUUUUAUUUAGUCAUAAUUGCUCAUCCCAUUGAUUGAUUUUAUCUUUAAUGAAAUAUUUAAUUUAAUUCAUCUCCAAUCACCUAAAAUCCAAUGUGAAUAGAUUUUAGUUUGUAUAUUUGUAAAAAAAAAUAUUUUAGAAAACAAAUAUUUUAGAAAACCCGAAAUAUGUAUAUUCCACAAAUCCAAUGUGAAUAGAUUUUAGUUUGUAUAUUUGUAAAAAAAAAAUAUUUUAGAAAACAAAAAUCAUAUUAUGAACCCGUAGUGAAAUAUGUAUAUUCCACGCCAUUUAGUAUUUUCUAUAAAAUAAUAUAAUGCGUAUCCCUGAAAACACUAUGAAAAAUAAAUUUUAUGAACAAAAAAGGUAUUAAUUUCUUUUAUGACAUCAUUUGUUCAUUAAAAUGUAAAUUAUUUUAUUAUAUUUAGUUGUGUAAUAAAUGAUGAGUUGAAAAUUUAUUCUUACCGUUUUUGCGUAUAUUGAAAAACCAAUUACAAAAGCUAGUAUGAAGCAUGCAAAGAUUAAAUGUGGUUUUUUAAACUCGAAUGAAAUAUUUAAAUAUAAUUAUUUCGUAAUUCAAAUAAAAUCUAAUUGUCAUAAAAUGUAAUUAUCAUAUAUUUUAAAAUUAAUACUGCAAGUUAAUACUUAAAAAAAAUAAAAAUAAAAAAGAGGGUGAGAAGUAGUAGAAUAAACAAAAGAAUUGUGCUAUACAAAAAAUUGACUGAUUAUUUUAACAAGAGCUAGAAAACCGCCAAAUAAUUGCUAAUAAAUUAUUUUAUUUUUACUAAGAAAUGUAAUAUUGCUUUCAAACGAUUUAUUUUACUUUGUUUAAAAGAUUAAUAAGAGAUCCGAGUGGAUUUGAACCACCAGCCUCUCAAAUCCCCAUUACGGGACUUUGAGCGCUCUACCGUUUUGAGCUUACGGAUCUUAUCAUCAUUGAAGAACGGGCAUCAAAACGAGAGUUACCUCUCCCCUUUUCUUUUCUCAUCUACAAAUCCUCCUCUACUUAAUUACCAAAGUUACCACAAAAUGAAUUUUUUUAAUGACCUGACCUUUUUUCACGGGCAAAAACACAUUUCCAAUACAAAUAUCAAUUGACUAAACAAAUCAUUAAUAAAGAGCUGACCGCAUCAAGCCAGAUUCCUGCCUGACACAUUUACACUAAUGUGAAUCAUUUAUCACCGGAAGCCAUAUUUACAUAACCGUUGUGACGUUGAUUUGAAUAAUAAAAGAACAUGUUCAGGGGAAAAUACAUUCUACCAAUAAAAAAAGAUACAUUCAAGAUAAAGUUUGAUACUACUUUUGUAUUAAAAAUACCAUAUUUUAAAAACAAAAAUUCUUAAUAUUGUUUCAUUAUAAUUACAUUUAUUAUAAAAAUUAAAUUUAUAGCUCUAAAAUAUAUACAUUUCAUAUUGUUAAAAAGAACACGCAGAAAAAUUACGUUAGUCGUGUUUUUUUUUUAAUUUCAAAAAUUAAAAAAAAAACUCAGAUAUAUUAUAGGUGCAAAUUUAAAAAAAAAAACAUCUGAAACUAUUUAUAAGUUCUUCCAUAAUUUUCACAAAGUCGAAAAAUAACAACUUGAGAUUGUAUAUAGCUAAAAUAGUGUAUGAAAAUCCAAUGAUAGACAUAAAGAAAGUGUUGAAUAAUAUAAUGCCGGAUGUAUUGCUUUUUAAAUGAACAUGAACUAGCUUAUUAGAAUUUUUAUUGUACUUUUAUUUUUAACAUAUCAAAUUCAUAAAACAGUUCUUAAAAAACAAAGACACUAACACAUUGGACACUUCAAAUAUAUAUUUAAUAUUGUGAUGACAGUAAAUUUUUAAUUAAAAAUACUGUAAAUUUUUUUUCUUGGUUCGACAUUAAAACUAAAAAAUCAGUUUAAUACUUGCAAUUUCAUAAUCCGAGGACUGCAAUUACUAAUAUGGUUGUUCUGGCGUGUCUUUGAAUAAAUAAAAAACACCCGAAAGCUUGAUUUGAAAGAACUUCGGUCAGGGAUGAGCAUCAAUCACCACCAUCUGGUCACCGGAAAGGCAUAACCUAACCUUCCAAUACGUGGCAAUUCAUGAAACCUAUCAUGUGAAACUUCUGGAAGAACAAUACGUGGAAAAUUUGGUAUUUAAAUUAAAUUGCUUCGCCUAAAAAGGCAUUAAAUUGAUGCUAAUAUCAAGAAUAUUAUAUUGAAAAACACUAAUUAAUUACCAAAUACCAAAGACAAUGAGAGAGGACCACUUUUCUUCGAAUUAGUGGGAAAGGAUAGAUAGAUAAUUAUGAGCAUGUUUUAAUAAAACGGCACAUAAAAGAGAAGACACGCAGCAUUUACUGACUUGUAGAAUAACGACUUCAGUAGAUUACUACAUCUCCAGCUAAAACAAGGAAACCAUAGCAGCGCAGAUUUUAAACUGAAUGACACUGAACAACAAUUUAAUUGAGUGCUUUAUUUUUCUUUCAGGUGGAAUAGUAAACCAUUGAAGAACUUAUCACCUCAAAAUUGUGUGGCUCAAUUGAGAAUUGCGUGAGGACCUCCUGAGCUUUCUGUCGCCCUUUGAAGCCAUCAUCAUGAUCGUUGAAGCUCAGCAGCACAAGGUCUUUACAAACGUGGAUCGCCUACUGAGGACUACAAAUCCAUCUUCAACGCUACCAUACUAAGGCCAAAUCACUCACACCCAGAGAACCAAACAAGAAGAUCCAAUUGCAAAUCACAAGACUAGGUAAGAGCCACUUAAAUCCAGCCCCAAGGUCUUACAAGGAUAUCAUAGAGGACAAUAAGCUUAAUUAACAUACUUGCUACAAAAUAUGUAAUUGUAAAACGCUAGCAACAAUAGUAAAGCUAUCGAAACAGAAAUUCUGCGCAAGAUCGCAGUAAUGGAUUGACAAGCUAUAUCUAAAUAAACAAAACUCGUGCUCAUGUUUGCUCUGUAAAAUAAUAACAUGAGAUGCGUGCGUUGGAUAAUGAAAUAACUUGGAACGAAUGUUACCUGCAAUAACGGGGUGGUGCAAUGGAAUAAAAGCUUGAGUGCAAGGAAAGCAUACUGUUUAAUAUAGAAUAGAAGGUAAGCCCUGAUAUCAUAAUUUCCAGUGUCUUUGUUUUUUAUGUACUCUGUGAUGUGUGACUGCCAGUUUCAAGUGCUGAAACAUGUUUUAGUAGAAUUCUCUUAAUAGCCCAUAUUACCAAGAUGAAUAUUUGAUGGGAGCAGAUAGUGAUGAACAAUGAGAACCCAGAUUACAAAUUCAUGAUCUUGCUAACGACUGAUUCUACGUGAAGGGGCAUGUGACUACAUGAUUCUAAGUGCAGGAAAAUCGAAUUGAGGAUAUAGGAUAUAAGUAGGAGAAUACCUUCGGGUCACCGUCAUAAAUUGCAAUAUCGUGCCAUGGAUGAAUUGAUUGCUAGCUGGAGUCGGGGCCGCGCUUUAGCCAUGGAUUGUAAGGCAAAGAGAAGAGAAAGCGGGACACAGAGACUAGAGGGGAGAACCCGGGAAAUCCCCGUGCGAUCUCCCCUCCAAACACGAAAAUGAUAAUUUUAUUAAGAUAGUGGUUGACCUGCCAUGCAAGCGCACCUGUCAUGGCAAAGGUCGGAUGACAAAGAUAAUAAACAAGACCUUGGCCUCUUGGCCUUCUGGUCCCGAUAUAUAUCUUAUACAUCAUCCUCAUAAAUAAAUCGAACACCAACACCAGCAUCAUCUCCUUCCUGUCCUUCUCCACCAACAAAUUACACAUAACAUGCUACACCACAGCUCACAUAACCAAUCUUCAGCCAUGUCUACAUCCAGCAACACGUUCAGCGGAUUCUGUAACUGCUUACAACACCACCUGCAGAAAAAAUCUCAAAUCAUCUUCUGCUUUCCGCCAACAACCAAACUUAAAUAUUGCUAAAAUUCCUCAUGAUCGAAGAAAGCAUGGCCGGAAGGGACAGAUCCGCUUAAUAUUUGAGCUAUCGAAACAGAGCCGCGCCACAUCUACAGAACAAAAUUAGAUUUACGCGGAUUAAUGACUUGAUCAAUAACCAAUAGACAGAUAUUCAAUCAGAUCUAGCUUAGGAACGUAAACAAAACACUUAUACAUACCUCUGGAGCUAUCUCCGAGCAAAUCAAGAUCAUGGAGUUCGAGCAUCGAAACGGAUAUCAAGAUAAAGAUCGCAAGGCGAUCUAUAUGAAGCUGCAAUUGAAAAGAUCGAAGGAUGAUCCAUGAAGAGUAGAUCUAUGGAGAAACUAGAGCUUUGCUGAUAAGAUUAGGUAGAUAUGAAAGUUGUGUAUGUGAUUAUUAUAUAGAGG
rnacentral:lncRNA from 1 species